rnacentral:rRNA from 1 species
GAUGAACGCUGGCGACGUGCCUAAUACAUGCAAGUAGAACGCUGAAGCUUGGUGCUUGCACCGAGCGGAUGAGUUGCGAACGGGUGAGUAACGCGUAGGUAACCUGCCUCUUAGCGGGGGAUAACUAUUGGAAACGAUAGCUAAUACCGCAUAAAAGUCGAUAUCGCAUGAUAUUGAUUUGAAAGGUGCAAUUGCAUCACUAAGAGAUGGACCUGCGUUGUAUUAGCUAGUUGGUGAGGUAACGGCUCACCAAGGCGACGAUACAUAGCCGACCUGAGAGGGUGAUCGGCCACCCUGGGACUGAGACCCGGCCCAGACUCCUACGGGAGGCAGCAGUAGGGAAUCUUCGGCAAUGGGGGCAACCCUGACCGAGCAACGCCGCGUGAGUGAAGAAGGUUGUCGGAUCGUAAAGCUCUGUUGUAAGAGAAGAACGAGUGUGAGAGUGGAAAGUUCACACUGUGACGGUAACUUACCAGAAAGGGACGGCUAACUACGUG